ACGGAAGGCAGCAGUGGGGAAUAUUGCACAAUGGGGGGAACCCUGAUGCAGCGACGCCGCGUGAGUGAAGAAGUAUUUCGGUAUGUAAAGCUCUAUCAGCAGGGAAGAAACAGGACGGUACCUGCACAAGAAGCCCCGGCUAACUACGUGCCAGCAGCCGCGGUAAUACGUAGGGGGCAAGCGUUAUCCGGAUUUACUGGGUGUAAAGGGAGCGUAGACGGCUGUGUAAGUCUGGAGUGAAACUCCGCGGCUCAACUGCGGAACUGCUCUGGAAACUAUACAGCUUGAGUACCGGAGGGGUAGGCGGAACUCCUAGUGUAGCGGUGAAAUGCGUAGAUAUUAGGAAGAACACCGGCGGCGAAGGCGGCCUACUGGACGGAAACUGACGUUGAGGCUCGAAAGCGUGGGGAGCAAACAGGAUUAGAUACCCUGGUA
rnacentral:rRNA from 1 species